UCGUGUGCGGAUGUUGAGCGGGAAAGUGGAAAAGCGGAAAAGCGCAUUCAAAAACCCAGCCGAAAACUCGUGCAAACUGCAAGCAGUGCCAAGAAACGUACAAGAAGAAUAAAAGCGAAUUAGAUUAAAAAACAGAGGUUUCAGUGACAAGUGUGCAACGAAAACUCGACAGCAGUGAGGUUUUUCCCGAACUCAGAGCCGAACCAUCGCUGCCCAGACGAGCGAAGCCAAAAGCGAGUGUGUUUAUUUAACACACUUCCUCGUUGCGAAAGCCUUCAGUUCGUGUCUGCUGCUCGCGAAGUGCGCGCCACAGUGAGGAGGGAAAGCGGAAACGGAAACGAAAACGGGAACGAGUGCGUCGCAAGCGAUAACGGAAACGGAAGCGAAAGCGUAGGAACAUGUGUGUGUGACGGGACGAUCUCAGCUAAAGCCGAAUUUAGAAUAGAUCGCAGCCAAUGCCGUUCAAUGCCCAGCUAAAGAUUGCUCAAUCAGUGAACAAAGUGACAUACGCGAGAGUCAGUGACUCAAACUGCAGCGCUAAGAUACAAAACUACUCUAUUGCCGAUUUAAGCCAGGCCAAAAGGCAGGCAGGCAGCAUGUGUGCCACGGGGAAAGGUAACCACAGGCUCUGUAGCCUCAGUGCCCUGCUCCUCGUCCUGGUCGCCCAAACUCUGCACGUGGAAUACGCCCGGGCGGAUUAUGAGAACACCUGGAAUCUAUACUACGAGCCGCCCUGCUGCACGGGCUCAUCUGCCGCCCAUCAUCUGCGCCACCACAAAGAACAUGUGCAGGACUUCAGCUGCGGCCCGCUGCACUACAAGACUUUCUACAUGGAUGAGCGCAACAAUGCGCUAUAUGUGGGCGCCAUGGAUCGCAUAUUUCGGCUCAAUCUGCGCAACAUCAGCCAAUCGAUUUGUGAGCGCGAUGUCCUCAUCCUGGAGCCCACCGGAUCGGAUAUCCUGAAUUGUGUGUCCAAGGGAAAACGGGAGAAGGUGGAAUGCCGCAAUCACAUAAGGGUUAUCCAGCCGAUGAACUUCAAUGGCCAGAAGCUAUAUGUUUGCGGGACCAACGCCCACAAUCCCAAGGAUUACGUAAUAAACGCAAACUUAACACAUUUACCCAGAUCCCAGUACGUGCCCGGCAUUGGCCUGGGCAUUGGCAAGUGUCCCUACGAUCCUGCUGACAACUCAACCGCCGUCUAUGUGGAGAACGGAAAUCCCUUCGGCCUGCCCGCCCUGUACGCGGGCACGAAUGCAGAGUUCACCAAAGCGGAUUCCGUCAUAUUCCGAUCGGACCUGUACAACCUGACGAACGGACGCAAGGAGGCCAACUUCAAGAGAACCGUGAAGUACGACUCCAAGCUGCUGGACAAACCCAACUUCGUGGGCUCCUUCGAGAUUGGCGAAUUUGUGUACUUCUUCUUCCGCGAACACGCCGUGGAGUACAUAAAUUGCGGAAAGGCUGUCUACUCCCGCGUGGCUCGGGUGUGCAAGAACGACCGCGGUGGCAAGUACAUGAUCAGCCAGAACUGGGCCACGUAUCUGAAGGCGCGGAUGAACUGCAGCAUCUCCAGCGAGUUUCCCUUCUACUUCAAUGAGAUACAAUCGGUGUACAAGAUGCCAACGGACGAUACCAAGUUCUAUGCCACGUUCACAACGAAUACGAAUGGUCUGAUUGGAUCGGCUGUGUGCAGCUACGACAUCCGGGACAUCAAUGCGGCCUUCGACGGCAAAUUCAAGGAGCAGGCCACCUCGAACAGCGCCUGGCUGCCCGUGCUGAACUCCAAAGUGCCGGAGCCACGUCCUGGCACUUGCCACAACGACACCGCCACGCUGCCGGACUCCGUGCUGAAUUUCAUUCGCAAACAUCCGCUAAUGGACAAGGCGGUCGAUCAUGAAUUUGGCAAUCCGGUCUUCUUCAAGCGGGACGUCAUACUCACCAAGCUGGUGGUGGACAAGAUACGGAUCGACAAGCUGAACCAGGAGUUCCUCGUGUACUUUGUGGCCACGACGUCUGGCCACAUCUACAAGAUAGUGCAGUUCAUGCACUACGGCCAGCGCCACUCGAACCUGGUGGACAUCUUCGAGGCCUCGCCGCACAACGAGCCCAUCCGCGAGAUGACCCUCAGCCAGAAGACGGGAUCGCUGUACGUGGCCACCGAUCACCAGGUGAAGCAGAUCGACAUUGCCAUGUGUGCCCGCCGCUACGACAGCUGCUUCCGCUGCGUCUCGGAUCCGUACUGCGGCUGGGACAAGGACGUCAAUGCCUGCCGACCCUACCAGCUGGGUCUGCUGCAGGACGUGGCCAACGAGACGUCCGGCAUCUGCGACACCAGUGUGCUGCGCAAGAAGGUCACCUCCUCCUACGGCCAAACCCUGCACCUCUCCUGCUUUGUCAAGAUGCCGGAAGUGCUGCGCAAGAAGCAGACGCGCUGGUACCACCACUCCACCGAAAAAGGACGCUACGAGGUACGCUACACACCCACCAAAUACAUCGACACCAACGAGGGCGGCCUGGUGCUCCUGGCGGUGAACGAGGGCGACGGCGGGCGGUACGACAGCUACUUGGACGGCACCCUGCUCUGCAGCUACGGCGUCACCGUGGACGCCCACAGAUGCUCGCCGCCGUCGCAGAAGCAGGACUACCAGAAAAUCUACUCGCACUGGUGCAACGAGUUCGAGAAAUACAAAUCGGCCAUGAAGCAGUGGCAGGCCAAGCAGGAGCAAUGCGGCCUCAAGGACAAAACAGGACCAAUCAGCAGCAAUGGCAAGCAUGUGAAUGAUGUGUUCAGCAACGAUGCUUUGGUCUGACCCAGAAAGUACUUGUACAGCUUUGAGUUCUUGUCGUCGGCGACGGAGGGCGUGGCCAGCGCCCACCGCAAAUUGUACAUUUUCGUGUUCGUGCUUACCAUAUUUGCUCGCUUCUAAAGUUUCUAGUUAAAAUGUAAAUGCGCAGAAAAGCAGUAAGCACCCGAGAAAAACAAGUGAAGAACAAGCAUGAAAAUGGGACAAGAGUCGAGCUGAGGAAAAACUAUGAGUAAAGAAAAUGAUUAUAGAAAGGAAAAA